GUCCGACUCUCCGCUUCCAUCGCAAUCGACCGCAUGGCGAGGAGCCGAGGAGGCCGGACCGCGUGCUCCGCCAUUGGUUACUGCUGGCCCCGGUGGGUUAUUGGGGAGGCGUCGCCUCCAUGCCGCGGCGCAGCCGCUGUCUCCUCCCUGCCGCGAAACAGCCUUUGUGUCCUCACUGCGGCCCGCCGCCGUCGCCGAUGCCUCGGUUGCUGCUCCCGCCAUCGUCCGUGGUCGUGGAAAGCCCGCCGCUGCGGUGGCACAGCGAGCGAACGACGCCCGACGCCGUUGCCUAUGGAGAAGAGAGGCUCAGAGUUGGCCUGCCCCACGCCAGAGAUGAUGAAGGAUAUACACUUCGAGGGUCCGUACCGUCUUCCCGAACCCCCAAUAUUUGUUCGUGAUUUUACUAUUUCUGUGUCCGCUUCUAAUCGCGAGGAGCAAUUUCGGCAGUAACAGAAUAGUGGCGAUGGAUUGUAUGCCUCAUGUUCCAAUCAACCUAGGGUUCUUCGUUUGUUACUGAUCUUUGAUGGUCAAAAGUAGCACAAUUCUGUGAUUUCUGGUAGUUCUGUCCUUAUUGGGGAUGGGGGCGACGAGUCAUAAUAAUUUCCUUAUUUUGUUGGAGCGUCAGAGAGUAACGUGGUUACCGUCUCUUGAUCUGGAGACUCUUGAUUCUAUUCAGUGAUGUCCUGGGUUUGCUUUGCUUGAACUACAGUAAAAUUUCAAGGACAUAGGAGUUGGUUUGUACUCCCUCCGAACUACAGUAAAAUUUCAAGGACAUAGGAGUUGGUUUGUCUCCCUCCGAUCCCAAUUUCUUGUCGUUGUUUUAGUUCAAAUUUAGGAUCGGAGGGAAUAGUGAUUAUAGCAACGCAGCUACCUUGUAACUUGUAAAGGUGUCUAGAAAAAUGAGGAAGUUUCUCUUUAGGUGAAAGAAGAUUGGCCCCAAAUUAUUUUGAACCUGAGAAGAUUAUCUAUGGUUAACCGGCAGCAACAUGACAUGUUUCACCUCCUCUUCGCCAUGCAAUUAGCAAAUGUGUUGUUUGUAGGCAAACUCCUUUGCCCAAUGAAAUGGACACCACUGAUUUAGAUUUGAUCUCUUGUAUCAUUCCUGUAAUGUUAUGCGUAAAAUUCGAACAAAUUAACUUAAAACUGAAGAAAUGUUCCCGAGCACCUACAAUGGGAGGCACUGUAUGUACCAUUCAAAGUUCUCAGUGCCCUUCAUCCCGUACGAGAGGUGAGAAAUCAGUUGCAGACUUGCCCUCCACCUCCUGAAUGGCGCUUAUCUCAUUGCAGGGUUUGUAACACUCUUUUGCUUAUCUGUAGAACGGUGCCACAUAUUUGCUUCCACCUUAUGCUGCUAUGUAGAGUUUUAUCUUUCAAUGAAGUAUAUCUCUGAUUCUCUCUUGGUAUGUGUGAGUUACAUGUAUCUUCUAAUUUACCUUUCCACAUUGUAUUCUCUAAUUAACCUUUCAUUGAGAUGAGGUACUGAAAGAAGACUGAAGACAGACAGACCAGCCCACCAAAGAGUAAGAGUACGGGUGUAAUGAUAAUUAUGAUAUGGGAAAGGACAAAUUCUCAAGUUUUGGUGAGAAAGAGGACCACGAAAAUUCUGGAACAAAUAAGACUAGAUAUGGGGGCUUGGCACGAAGAAAAAUCCCACUUGGAGGAACCUACCCUAAGAGUUCCUGUUUACCUUAAACAUGAACUAUUCCCAACUACCACCUCCUACCACUGACGCGGGCGAGCGAGCGGCGGCGGCCACCUGCGGCACCCUCCUCCCGACGCGCCCCCCGGCUACCACCUUCUUCCCCCGGCGCGGGCGAGCAAGCAGCGGCGGAGGCCGACGCGAGGGAGCCCGCAGCGGCCGCCCACGCCACCUCCUCCCGACGCGCCCCCUCGGCUACCACCUUCUUCCCCCGGCACGGGCGAGCGAGCGGCGCUGGAGGCCGACGUGAGAGAGCCCGCGACGGAACCGGCGACCUAACUCCCUUCGCGGGGGAGUGGACCUUCUUCUCCGGCGCGGGCGAGCGAGCGGCGGCGGAGGCAAUCAAUAGUUCUACGAUAUAUUUUGAACCGCUUGUCGGAAUGAUGCAAAUUAUACGACGUUGGAAAGCUAUGAACCAGGCGCAACUUUUUUGUUUAUAAUGUUUUUGCUAAUUCUUAACGGUUUAAGAGCAGUUUGCAAAUUACCGUCCGCCGGAUUACGACCAAACAAAAAACACUUCGAUAUAUUUUGAAGCACUUGUCGGAAUGAUGCAAAUGAUACGGCGUUGGAAAGCUAUGAACUAGGCGCAACUUUUUCGUGUAUAAAGUUUUUGCUAAUUCCUUACGGUUUAAGAGCAGAUUUCGAAUUACUGUCUGCUGUUCGAAACCGUCAGGAAGUUCACAGGGUAUAAACGAGGAAGAUAUAAGCGGCGGAGGUUUAUAGAUUGCCAGGAAGAUCACAGUCUAUAAAACGGAAGUUCACUCGUGUAUCGAUGGAAGUUCAGAACGUUCAUGCCCGUAGGCCUCUUUUGUUCUCUAAUGCGGGCAAAAUUAUAGUCGGCGGAGCUUCAGAGACUGUCAGGAAGUUCACAGUUUAUAAAGCGGAAGUUCACUCAUGUGGUCGAUGGAAGUUCAGAACGUUCGUGCCCGUAGACCACAGUUCGUGGUACGUUGCGAAGUUCACAUGUGCUUUUAGGCAAGUUCACGUAUGCAGAUUGAGAAGUUCACUAGCUAAUUUUCAUGAGAGCAUACUUGUACAAAAGUUCAUAUGCCCUUUCAUGCGAGUUCUCUUGUACAGAAUGAGAAGUUCACUAGCUAGUUUUCAUGAGAGUUCACUUGUUUAGACUGAGAAGUUUAGAUGCCCUUUCAUGGAAGUUUCGUUUGUUUAUACUGAGAAGUUCACUAGUUAGUUUCAUGGGAGUUUGCAAGUUUUAUUUGGGAAGCUCACUAGCUGGCACGCUGCAAAACGGGGGUGUAGUAGACUUGUUAAUAUGGAUUGGCAAAACUUCCUCGCCAAAAAUCUUGUACCAGGGAACUUCACGGUCUAUAAAAUAAGAAGUUCACUCUUGUAUAUAGGGAAGUUCAGUACAUUCACGCCCGGACACCUCCUCUUCGGCGCGGGCAAAAUAUUACAGCCGACGGAGGUUCAGAGACCAUCAUGAAGUUCACAGUCUAUAAAAUGGAAGUUCACUCGUGUAUUGAUGGAAGUUCAGAACAUGCACGCCGUGUUGCUGCGUAGGAUGUACUGAUUUUUUCUUCGCGUGUCUCAAAACUUUUUCGGAUUUGCGCAAACGAUAUACCGUUGGAAAACCACUGAAAAUCCGCAGCUAUUUCAUAUGUAAUAUUUUUCCAAAGUCCUCAAGGUUUAAGAUUAAUUUCAAAAAUACCGAAAUCAGAUCAAUCUAAAAAGGACGGACGGUAUUUUUACGAUUGUUUUUGAACCGCUUGUCGGAAUGAUGCAAGUAAUAUGGCGUUGGAAAGCUAUGAACCAGGCACAUCUUUUUCGUUUAUAACGUUUUUACUAAUUCUGUACGGUUUAAAAGCAGAUUUCAAAUUACCGUCCGCACGAACCACCCGUACUGCGUGCGCGUGCAGAGUAUAACGCAGGGAGGGGAAGUUCACAUCCGCAGCGAGGGAAGUUCAGUCGUGCAGGCGAGGAAGUUCAGAUCGUUCCCUGUUUAGUUAAAACUCUAUUAUAUACCCAGGUGCAGAAUAGUUAUUCUGCAUGACGUAAAUUUUCUUGUUCUUUUACGACCGCCGUUCCUCCCGUCGAGCUAACCCCACCUUUCCCAGAGCCCACCUACCCUCUCACCUCCCCCAAAUCGUGUGUGCAUGCGGUUGGGGUAGAAUCGGUGCGGCCGGCGGCGACCGACUGCAGCCGAAUUGAGGCGCGUUACAACACACGCGUAGCGGCGGCUAGCUACGAGGUGGUCUGGCUCGACCCAAGCCGGCGGCGGCGGAUGGGCGGCGGCCGGUGCCUCGGACACGGUCGGCCACGGCGGUCGUCGGGCGUCUGGAGCCUCAAACGUGGUUAGAAUCGAGCGCCCGAUGUGGUAGUGUGGGGACAUGGCGCGGCGGCCGGCGGGACAGAAUCAUGCUGCGAUGACAUCGAGCUGGCGGCCUAUGGCAUGGUAGCGCGGGGCCACGCCUUGGGCGUGGUGGCCAGCGGGACGGAAGCACACGACCACCGCAUGGAGCAGACGGCCGACGGCACAGAGUUGUGUGGACACGGCGACGAUGCAGCGAUCGGCGACACGGACGCGUCGGACCAGCCCUCCAACACGGCGACAUGUUUCAGCUUCAUGCAGGCAACUCGCGAAAUCAUGGAAUCAAUCAGCGUCCUUGAUCGACAUGGCCAUUCCUUUCCCCCGCUCAAUUUUCCUGCCCAAUCCUGCCUUCUCACUGGCGAGCAGGUUCUCUUCGUCGCUCUCGCUUCGGCAAGGUUAGGAAAAUUAGGCUCCACCAUUUGUGCUGUCCGUCACAAGAAUAACUAUCUGAAACGAAAUUUGCUCCACUGGUGCUACCCAAUUUUGCAAGGAUUUGUGCCUGAACUGUUCUGUUUCAUGGGCCAAAGCAUUGUCAUAUGUCACUUGAAAUUUAGUUAUUUGUCAGUUUAUUCUUGAUUGUUUCUACAACGACAAUGAGAAGUAUUUGAUACCGGGAUUGCUGAACUGAUUUCUUCUAGUGUACUGAUACCAAAGGAAUGAAACCAAAUCGGCAAUUUAUAUGGUUGAAGAGGCCUGGGUUUUGUUAUCUCAAACAAAAAUUUCAGAUGCUGUAGUUGACAUUUCCUUUUUGAGCCACCAGCAAGCAUUUUAGUUUUCUUGCUUACAUCCUUGUGCCACCUAACCUGCACUUUUAAAUGGUUAUGAUAAGUUGAUCACUUCACUUGAACCUUCCUAAGAUAACCCAGUUGCUAGUGUAGAAACAGGUAAUUGGCCUUAUUAAUAUAUUGAAAUUGAAAUUAAACUUCGUUUUUUGCUGUUGUGGAACUGUGCAAGUGUCAACAACACUCUCUAAUAGAAAGUGAAAUUUAUGUAUGGGAAAUGAUCAUUGAUGAUUUAUGAAUUUAACAUGUUUAUGGAGUUCUAAACAUGCCAAGCUAUAUCAUAAAUACAUUGAUCUUUUGCCCAGUAUAGAUUAUUUUCCUGACUGCAGGCCUGCCGGCGAGUAAGGUCAGCAUACUUCAUGUAAUGUAACAUCAGGCUAAAUCCCCAUAAUGAUUAAUGAAUAUUGCUCACUGCUCAUUAGGCCGGCUUAAUUAGGCAGGUGCCAUGAGCAUAAUUAAGGUCCUUGAGGCUGCAUGCCGCCAACAACUAUAGAUGUUCUCUGAAGCAAGGCCUGGUCAGCACUGGCAAGGCCAUGCUCACCGAGGUCAACCUGGGCCUGGCAUGGCCUUUAUCGAAGCUCCACAAUCAUGCAUUGGCACUUUGUCAAGGGGCUGAGGAUGGUGUAUGGGGUCUUCCAGGCUGACCGUGACCAAAACGGCCACCAGCCACCAUUGCUGGAGCUUCUCACCGAGCUGGAUGGGUGUGACAGUGCAGCACCAAUGGCUCAGAUGGUAUACAAUUUUGCUCUUUUGUUCAUCAUUUAAAAUUUAGAACUCAUUAUAAUUCCACUCAUUUUGUCCAUUCAUUUUGCCUUUUAGCCUAGAUCUUGUAAGCUUGUAGCUCUAGAUUAGAAUUAGUUAAGCAGAGAGAUAGAAAAGCUUUUCCAGUUUAAACUGAAUUGCAAGAUAUGCUUGUAAAAAAGUCUCUAUGAUAGCAUCCUUUUUAAUGUUGAACAUAGCUCAGCUCUAUAAUAUUUGCAUAGGCCAGGUUGCUUGGCUGAUUAAACCUCCAAGGGUUAUAUAGCAGUGUUUUGCCAUGUCUUGCGAUUAAAUUUGUUGUCGCUAUCACAAAUGGCGUAGUUAAUUCUAUCAGCCAUGAGAAAAUAUCAUAUUUGAUCAAUUUGACUUGCACCUGUUCGAUGUAAUGCCCUGUGAGAGUGUUUUUUUUUUGUAUACUGCAGGUUUGUUCUUUAUUUCCUUCUCUGAGCUUGAAACACCGACCAAUAGUACAUGAUUUUGUUAUCUGCGGAAGUAUUUAAUUUGAUGCCACUGUUUGAGCUUAUGAAAAAGUUGCUUACUAGAGUUGGCAUGAUCAUAUCAUCACAAUUGUUCUUCUUAACUUUGUAAUUGGUUUGAAAGUCUUGCAAUGGGCAUUUAGAUUUUUGUUCUUUU